rnacentral:sRNA from 2 species
GAAUUUCGUCAAAGCCGACCUCCUCCCCGGCGAUGACGAAUAAGACCGGACCUCUCCUCCUCCCUGAGGCCGGUCACCAAAACGACACCCGCCGGACAUCCUCCCCCGGCGGGUGUUGUGU